rnacentral:lncRNA from 1 species
UUUAAACCAUGGACUAUCUUUUUCGCUAUUCUCGAAGGUGGCCUAAAGAUAAGCCAGGCUUAAAUACGUCAUAGUUCGGCCUAACUUUAGGCCGCUCAGAGGGCAGGUUUAAAUACGUCAUAGUUCGGCCUAACUUCGCGUGACGUCACGUUUUAGUUAAAUCGAGUGUCCGCGGAGAGUGAACGGUUCUUUUCAAUUGAUGCAUGGGGAUGAAAAAAGAAGGCCUCUCCCAAGCUACUGUGACCCGCCUUGUGAAGUCCAUCUCAAUAGCCAUUGCCAGGAGAUCGGAGCAAUACAUCUCAAUUCUUUCAACAAGAGAGGCAGUCCUGCAGAGUGAAGACCCAACAUGAAUUUUAUAAUUACUGCCAUUUCCCUGGCGUAAAUAUGGUUGGUGCUAUUGAUUGCACCCACAUAGGCGUCUCCACGCCAGUUGGCCCAACACCAGUUAUUUCCUGAACAGGAAAAAUAGAUACUCCAUUUUUCUUGGAAAGUCUGCUGGAUGAUGUUCUUCUUCAGUAAAAUAAAUGAAGGCAAAUAACCUGAUGAUUAAGACAAAUUCAGAGAGAGGAAGGGGAACUACUGAGCUGCUGAAUUUCUGAGAGACAUACUUGCGGGGACUAUGAAGUUCUACUUAGCCUAUUCAAUGAACCAAACUCCAUCUGCUGUAACUGUGACUGCAUGGGGAUCAAAACCUUUGUAGUAUAAUCCUCAUAACAUGAAGCUAUGGUAACAAACAAGCAACCAUUGAUAAUAAGCCUGAUAUGUCCUUGUUGUGUGUGUGAACCACAAAGCAACCAUUACUCAUAAGGAUGUUUUUAUGUACAUCAGAUGUUUACUGUUUAACUGGAAAAAUUGUGAUUUUAAGCCAUUUAAGAAAUUAUGUUUUGUAAUGUGUUUUAUAAUAUAGUGCAAGUCAUGAUAUAACAGAUUCCCUGCAAAAGAAACACGGCUCAAAAGUAGACUAUGCUUUGUUUUAAAAAAAUGGGA